rnacentral:rRNA from 1 species
GAUUAUGGCUCAGGAUGAACGCUAGCUACAGGCUUAACACAUGCAAGUCGAGGGGCAGCAUAUCGAAAGCUUGCUUUGAUGAUGGCGACCGGCGCACGGGUGAGUAACGCGUAUCCAACCUUCCCUAUACUAGAGGAUAGCCCGGCGAAAGUCGGAUUAAUACUCUAUGUUCUUCGUAGAAGACAUCUGAAAUGAAGCAAAGGUUUACCGGUAUAGGAUGGGGAUGCGUCUGAUUAGGUUGUUGGCGGGGUAACGGCCCACCAAGCCCACGAUCAGUAGGGGUUCUGAGAGGAAGGUCCCCCACAUUGGAACUGAGAACACGGUCCAAACUCCUACGGGAGGCAGCAGUGAGGAAUAUUGGUCAAUGGACGAGAGUCUGAACCAGCCAAGUAGCGUGCAAGGAUGACGGCCCUAUGGGUUGUAAACUGCUUUUAUACAGGGAUAAAGUGCACUACGUGUAGUGUUUUGUAGGUACUGUAUGAAUAAGGACCGGCUAAUUCCGUGCCAGCCGCAGC